AUGGACGACCACCGCAAUAAGAAUUGUACAAUGAGCUAUAUUAAUUGCACUUUGAAGUGUUGUACUAUGUCAUUACGUGUCAAUUGGAGUCUGAAUGGCCACUCCAAGUGGGUACCACAGACCAACAAUGUAAUUCUAGAAUUAUCUUUUCACUAUCUUUAUUCUAGAAUUAUCUACCCACAAUCUUCAUUCUAGAAAUUGCCCAGAAUUAUCUCUUUCAAUUCAUUUCCCAGAAUAAAGAUGAAUAUGGCUUUUGAUGGUGAUAUAGUGGCAGUUGAGCUUUUGCCUCAAGAACAAUGGCACGAGGAAAAGUCUUUGGCAUUAGCUGAUGGAGGAUUCACAUUGCACCGGCUUUGAAAAAUAAUAGUAUCACUUCACAAACUCCAUGAAGAAAACCUUCAAUGACCAUGAUGCUGCAUUGAGUUACACAAAGACACAACUUGGCAGCUUGUUUGGAAGGAGGAGUUUGAUGCUCCGAGGAAGGCAAUUAUAUUAGGCUACAACCCUAUUAGACCUUGGAUGUUUGUAGCUCACUGGUAUGUCAUUAUAACUAAUCUUUUUACUCUAAAAAUAGCCAUAUUUUAUAAUUUCUAUGGC